GCACAAGCGGUGGAGCAUGUGGUUAAUUCGAUGAUACGCGAAAACCUUACCUGGGCUUGAACUGUGCAUGACAGGUGUAGAGAUACACCCUCCGCAAGGCAUGUACAGAGGUGCUGCAUGGUUGUCGUCAGCUCGUGUCGUGAGAUGUUGGGUUAAGUCCCGCAACGAGCGCAACCCCUACCCUUUGUUGCUACCAGAUAAUGCUGGGCACUCUAAGGGAACUGCCGGUGAUAAACCGGAGGAAGGUGGGGAUGACGUCAAAUCAUCACGGCCCUUAUGUCCAGGGCUACACACGUACUACAAUGGCCGGUACAAAGCGUUGCAAACCUGCGAAGGGGAGCCAAUCGCAAAAAACCGGUCUCAGUUCAGAUUGCAGUCUGCAACUCGACUGCAUGAAGCUGGAAUCGCUAGUAAUCGUGGAUCAGAACGCCACGGUGAAUACGUUCCCGGGCCUU
rnacentral:rRNA from 1 species